CCUAUACAUGCAAUCGAACGAAGCCUUUAUGGCUUAGUGGUGAACGGGUGAGUAACACGUAUCCAAUCUGCCCUUAAGUUUGGGAUAACUGGUCGAAAGACUAGCUAAUACCAAAUAAUAACAACGUUUCGCAUGAGAUGUUGUAGAAAGUUGCGUUUGCAACGCUUUUGGAUGAGGGUGCGACGUAUCAGAUAGUUGGUGAGGUAACGGCUCACCAAGUCGAUGACGCGUAGCUGUACUGAGAGGUAGAACAGCCACAAUGGGACUGAGACACGGCCCAUACUCCUACGGGAGGCAGCAGUAGGGAAUUUUUCACAAUGGGCGCAAGCCUUAUGAAGCAAUGCCGCGUGAACGACGAAGGUCUAUACGAUUGUAAAGUUCUUUUAUUUGGGAAGAAUGUCUAGAAUAGGAAAUGAUUCUAGUUUGACUGUACCAUUUGAAUAAGUAUCGGCUAACUAUGUGCCAGCAGCCGCGGUAAUACAUAGGAUGCAAGCGUUAUCCGGAUUUACUGGGCGUAAAACGAGCGCAGGCGGAUUCGUAAGUUUGGUAUGAAAUCUAGAUGCUUAACGUCUAGCUGUAUCAAAAACUACGAAUCUAGAGUAUAGCAGAGAGUUGGGGAACUCCAUGUGGAGCGGUAAAAUGCGUAGAUAUAUGGAAGAACACCGGUGGCGAAGGCGCCAACUUGGACUAGCACUGACGCUUAGGCUCGAAAGUGUGGGGAGCAAAUAGGAUUAGAUACCCUAGUAGUCCACACCGUAAACGAUCAUCAUUAAAUGUCGGCUCGAUUAAGAGUCGGUGUUGUAGCUAACGCAUUAAAUGAUGUGCCUGGGUAGUACAUUCGCAAGAAUGAAACUCAAACGGAAUUGACGGGGACCCGCACAAGUGGUGGAGCAUGUUGCUUAAUUUGACGAUACACGUAGAACCUUACCUAGGUUUGACAUCUAUUGCAAAGCUAUAGAAAUAUAGCGGAGGUUAACAAUAUGACAGGUGGUGCAUGGUUGUCGUCAGCUCGUGUCGUGAGAUGUUGGGUUAAGUCCCGCAACGAGCGCAACCCCUUUCGCUAGUUAAUUUAUCUAUCGAUACUGCUACCGCAAGGUAGAAGAAAGGUGGGGAUGACGUCAAAUCAUCAUGCCCCUUAUAUCUAGGGCUGCAAACGUGCUACAAUGGCUAAUACAAACAGCUGCAAAACCGUAAGGUCAAGCGAAUCUGAUAAAGUUAGUCUCAGUUCGGAUUGAGGGCUGCAAUUCGCCCUCAUGAAGUUGGAAUCACUAGUAAUCGCGAAUCAGACAUGUCGCGGUGAAUACGUUCUCGGGUCUUGUACACACCGCCCGUCAAACUAUGGGAGCCGGUAAUAUCUGAAACCGUACUGUUAACCCUUUGGGAGGCAUACGUCUAG
rnacentral:rRNA from 1 species